rnacentral:rRNA from 1 species
UGUGCCAGCAGCCGCAGUAAUACGGAGGGUGCAAGCGUUAAUCGGAAUUACUGGGCGUAAAGCGCACGCAGGCGGUUUGUUAAGUCAGAUGUGAAAUCCCCGCGCUUAACGUGGGAACUGCAUUUGAAACUGGUAAGCUAGAGUCUUGUAGAGGGGGGUAGAAUYCCAGGUGUAGCGGUGAAAUGCGUAGAGAUCUGGAGGAAUACCGGUGGCGAAGGCGGCCCCCUGGACAAAGACUGACGCUCAGGUGCGAAAGCGUGGGGAGCAAACAGGAUUAGAUACCCUGGUAGUCCACGCUGUAAACGAUGUCGAUUUGGAGGUUGUGCCCUUGAGGCGUGGCUUCCGGASUAACGCGUUAAAUCGACCSCCUGGGGAGUACGGCCGCAAGGUUAAAACUCAAAUAAAUUGACGGG